rnacentral:rRNA from 1 species
GUGCCAGCCGGCCGCGGUAAUACGGAGGGUGCAAGCGUUGUUCGGAUUUAUUGGGCGUAAAGCGCGUGUAGGCGGUUUGUUAAGUCUGAUGUGAAAGCCCUGGGCUCAACCUGGGAAGUGCAUUGGAAACUGGCAGACUUGAAUACGGGAGAGGGUAGUGGAAUUCCUAGUGUAGGAGUGAAAUCCGUAGAUAUUAGGAGGAACACCGGUGGCGAAGGCGGCUACCUGGACCGAUAUUGACGCUGAGACGCGAAAGCGUGGGGAGCAAACAGG